CGCUUUCCCUGCUGCCGGCCGCGACCGCAACCCGCUAGGCCUUCAUCGCGAGCUACGCCCGGACCGAGAAGCCCCGGCAUGGCCACGUCCAUCGGAGUGUCCUUCUCGGUGGGCGACGGGGUGCCUGAGGCUGAGAAGAACGCAGGGGAGCCCGAGAACACCUAUAUUCUGCGGCCUGUUUUCCAGCAGAGGCGGCCCUCUGUGGUUAAAGACUGUAUCCAUGCUGUGCUCAAGGAGGAACUGGCAAAUGCUGAAUAUUCUCCAGAAGAAAUGCCUCAGCUUACAAAACAUUUAUCAGAAAACAUUAAAGAUAAAUUAAAAGGUAA
rnacentral:lncRNA from 1 species